rnacentral:rRNA from 1 species
AUUGAACGCUGGCGGCAGGCCUAACACAUGCAAGUCGAGCGAGCGGCGGACGGGUGAGUAAUGUCUGGGAAACUGCCUGAUGGAGGGGGAUAACUACUGGAAACGGUAGCUAAUACCGCAUACCAUCAGAAGUGCACAGAUGGGCUUAGCUAGUAGGUGGGGUAAAGGCUCACCAAGGCGACGAUCCCUAGCUGGUCUGAGAGGAUGACCAGCCAAACUGGAACUGAGACACGGUCCAGACUCCUACGGGAGGCAGCAGUGGGGAAUAUUGCACAAUGGGCGCAAGCCGGAUGCAGCAAGGCCGCGUGUAUGAAGAAGGCCUUCGGGUUGUAAAGCACUUUCAGCGGGGAGGCGUUACCCGCAGAAGAAGCACCGGCUAACUCCGUGCCAGCAGCCGCGGUAAUAC